CCUACGGGAGGCAGCAGUGAGGAAUAUUGGUCAAUGGUCGGGAGACUGAACCAGCCAAGCCGCGUGAGGGAGGAAGGUACAGAGUAUCGUAAACCUCUUUUGUCAGGGAACAAAGGCGGGGACGUGUCCCCGGCUGAGUGUACCUGAAGAAAAAGCAUCGGCUAACUCCGUGCCAGCAGCCGCGGUAAUACGGAGGAUGCGAGCGUUAUCCGGAUUUAUUGGGUUAAAAGGGUGCGCAGGCGGUCUGUUAAGUCAGCGGUCAAAGCCCGGGGCUCAACCCCGGCCCGCCGUUGAAACUGGCAGUCUCGAGUUGGAGAGAAGUAUGCGGAAUGCGCGGUGUAGCGGUGAAAUGCAUAGAUAUCGCGCAGAACUCCGAUUGCGAAGGCAGCAUGCCGGCUCCACACUGACGCUGAGGCACGAAAGCGUGGGUAUCGAACAGGAUUAGAUACCCUGGUAGUC
rnacentral:rRNA from 1 species